rnacentral:rRNA from 1 species
AGAGUUUGAUCCUGGCUCAGAACGAACGCUGGCGGCAGGCUUAACACAUGCAAGUCGAGCGCCCCGCAAGGGGAGCGGCAGACGGGUGAGUAACGCGUGGGAACAUACCCUUUGGUUCGGAAUAACUCAGGGAAACUUGAGCUAAUACCGGAUACGUCCGUAAGGAGAAAGAUUUAUCGCCAAAGGAUUGGCCCGCGUCCGAUUAGCUAGUUGGUGAGGUAACGGCUCACCAAGGCUACGAUCGGUAGCUGGUCUGAGAGGAUGAUCAGCCACAUUGGGACUGAGACACGGCCCAAACUCCUACGGGAGGCAGCAGUGGGGAAUAUUGGACAAUGGGCGCAAGCCUGAUCCAGCCAUGCCGCGUGAGUGAUGAAGGCCUUAGGGUUGUAAAGCUCUUUUGUCCGGGAAGAUAAUGACUGUACCGGAAGAAUAAGCCCCGGCUAACUUCGUGCCAGCAGCCGCGGUAAUACGAAGGGGGCUAGCGUUGUUCGGAAUCACUGGGCGUAAAGCGCACGUAGGCGGACCGUUAAGUCGGAGGUGAAAGCCUGGGGCUCAACCCCAGAACUGCCUUCGAUGCUGGCGGUCUUGAGUAUGGUAGAGGUUGGUGGAACUCCGAGUGUAGAGGUGAAAUUCGUAGAUAUUCGGAAGAACACCAGUGGCGAAGGCGGCCAACUGGACCAUUACUGACGCUGAGGUGCGAAAGCGUGGGGAGCAAACAGGAUUAGAUACCCUGCUAGUCCACGCUGUAAACGAUGAGAGCUAGCCGUUGGGGUGCAUGCACCUCAGUGGCGCAGCUAACG